UGCCCAGCAACUUCUAUCCCUACCUCUGCGUGGCACCGGCCGGGCUGCCAGCAACCUUAGGGAAGA
rnacentral:ribozyme from 1 species